rnacentral:snRNA from 1 species
CUCACAUAUACUAAAAUUGGAAUGAUACAGAGAAGAUUAGCAUGGCCCCUGCACAAGGAUGACACGCAACUUUGUGAAGUGUUCCAUAAAAAA